CCUACGGGAGGCAGCAGUGGGGAAUAUUGCACAAUGGGGGAAACCCUGAUGCAGCGACGCCGCGUGAAGGAAGAAGUAUUUCGGUAUGUAAACUUCUAUUAGCAGGGAAGAAAAUGACGGUACCUGACUAAGAAGCACCGGCUAACUCCGUGCCAGCAGCCGCGGUAAUACGUAGGGGGCAAGCGUUAUCCGGAUUUACUGGGUGUAAAGGGCGCGUAGGCGGGUUAGCAAGUCAGAAGUGAAAUCCCGGGGCUCAACCCCGGAACUGCAUUUGAAACUGUUGAACUAGAUUGCAGGAGAGGUAGGUGGAAUUCCUGGUGUAGCGGUGAAAUGCGUAGAGAUCAGGAGGAACACCAGUGGCGAAGGCGGCUUACUAGACUGUAACUGACGCUGAGGCUCGAAAGCGUGGGGAGCAAACAGGAUUAGAUACCCGUGUAGUC
rnacentral:rRNA from 1 species